GCUUGAUUCCACUCCACUACCAUCUUCUGACAGCCAGAAGUUACUCAUUAGAAUCUUCCAUUAGCUCUUCUGAGCUAAGACCUGCUGGGGAACUUCAGGUUCUCUGGAGGUGUAGGUGGGGAGCAGCACCUAGAGGACCCAAUGUAAGAAGUCAAACUGUUCAACAACAGCCUGACUCAUUACAAUGGGAGGGAUGAGGGUGUCAGAGCCCUCCUGACAUGGGACACUAGUAGUGAGAGAUGGGAUACUGGUAGUGAGGAAUGGGAUCAUGGGACACAGGUAGUGAGGGAUUCAGGGGGUGGGCACUAGUAGGUGGAGAGCUAGCUGUGCUUUGUGUUGGGACAUCAAUAACCACCACACAUUCAGUGAGAGUGGGCGCUGUUUUAACUCUGUACCACUGCUCCUUUGUGGUCCAUAGAAUACAC